CUGGGAAAAAGACAUUACCAUGAAAACUAACACUAACCAAUGAACAAAGAAUGAGGUCAAGGUCAGAUGACACAGGUACACCUUACAAUAUUCCAUACAAUACAUAUAUUUGACCCAAUUGUUUAUAGUACAAAUGUAGUAGUAUCUGAAAAAUAGACCAUACCUAAAAAAAUUAACAUUGUCCUAUGAACCAUGAUAAAGGAUGAGGGGCAGAUAAAACCUAACAUGCCUAACAGACAGACAUAUUCAUCCUACACACAUAGUAUAAACCAUAUAUACAGAUGAUCUAUUGCUAAUGCAGUAUUUGAGAAACCAACCAAACCACACAUAAAAUUAAUAUUGACAAAUUAAAUGAACCAUAAAUAUGAGACAUGAUAGCAGCCAGCACGAAGACAAUAGAUAAGGAAAAACUGUACAGUUGAUAAAAACUAGAGAACCUGUGUCUCGCUCACCUUGGUAUAUGUGCUUAUCAAACAAAGGACA
rnacentral:lncRNA from 1 species